UACGUAGGGUGCAAGCGUUUGUCCGGAAUUAUUGGGCGUAAAGAGCUCGUAGGCGGUUUGUCGCGUCUGCUGUGAAAACCCGAGGCUCAACCUCGGGCCUGCAGUGGGUACGGGCAGACUAGAGCGCGGUAGGGGAGAUUGGAAUUCCUGGUGUAGCGGUGGAAUGCGCAGAUAUCAGGAGGAACACCGAUGGCGAAGGCAGAUCUCUGGGCCGUAACUGACGCUGAGGAGCGAAAGCAUGGGGAGCGAACAGG
rnacentral:rRNA from 1 species